GAUGAACGCUAGCGGCAGGCUUAACACAUGCAAGUCGAGGGGUAUGCCGAUUUAUCGGCAGAGACCGGCGCACGGGUGCGUAACGCGUAUGCAAUCUACCUUUUACAGAGGGAUAGCCCAGAGAAAUUUGGAUUAAUACCUCAUAGUAUAGUGACUCGGCAUCGAGAUACUAUUAAAGUCACAACGGUAAAAGAUGAGCAUGCGUCCCAUUAGCUAGUUGGUAAGGUAACGGCUUACCAAGGCUACGAUGGGUAGGGGUCCUGAGAGGGAGAUCCCCCACACUGGUACUGAGACACGGACCAGACUCCUACGGGAGGCAGCAGUGAGGAAUAUUGGACAAUGGGCGCAAGCCUGAUCCAGCCAUGCCGCGUGCGGGAUGACGGUCCUAUGGAUUGUAAACUGCUUUUGUACGAGAAGAAACACCUCUACGUGUAGAGACUUGACGGUAUCGUAAGAAUAAGGAUCGGCUAACUCCGUGCCAGCCGCCGCCGUAACAC
rnacentral:rRNA from 1 species